UACGGGGGGGGGCAAGCGUUGUUCGGAAUUACUGGGCGUAAAGGGCUCGUAGGCGGCCAACUAAGUCGGAUGUGAAAUCCCCAGGCUUAACCUGGGAACUGCAUCCGAUACUGGAUGGCUUGAAUCCGGGAGAGGGAUGCAGAAUUCCAGGUGUAGCGGUGGAAUGCGCAGAUAUCAGGAGGAACACCGAUGGCGAAGGCAGAUCUCUGGGCCGUAACUGACGCUGAGGAGCGAAAGCAUGGGGAGCGAACAGG
rnacentral:rRNA from 1 species